GAUGAACGCUGGCGGCGUGCCUAAUACAUGCAAGUCGAGCGAACAGACGAGGAGCUUGCUCCUCUGACGUUAGCGGCGGACGGGUGAGUAACACGUGGAUAACCUACCUAUAAGACUGGGAUAACUUCGGGAAACCGGAGCUAAUACCGGAUAAUAUAUUGAACCGCAUGGUUCAAUAGUGAAAGACGGUUUUGCUGUCACUUAUAGAUGGAUCCGCGCCGCAUUAGCUAGUUGGUAAGGUAACGGCUUACCAAGGCAACGAUGCGUAGCCGACCUGAUAGGGUGAUCGGCCACACUGGAACUGAGACACGGUCCAGACUCCUACGGGAGGCAGCAGUAGGGAAUCUUCCGCAAUGGGCGAAAGCCUGACGGAGCAACGCCGCGUGAGUGAUGAAGUUCUUCGGAUCGUAAAACUCUGUUAUUAGGGAAGAACAAAUGUGUAAGUAACUAUGCACGUCUUGACGGUACCUAAUCAGAAAGCCACGGCUAACUACGUG
rnacentral:rRNA from 1 species